UGUGGCAAAUAGUUCCAAAUCAACUGUAGGUAUUACAGUUGCUUGCUUUGCUUGCCUAACAUCAGAAGCAAAAAAUAGAAUUGACCAAAUCUGUUAAGUCUAUUCAUAUGUCAAAACACUAGCUUUAUUGGUCCAAGGGAGAAUAAUGAGGAGAGUUGUUUCAGUCUGGUGUCCAAGAAUAUUUGACAUGCAAAGAAAGAACCCUUUUACACCAAAAGGCAGUAGUUUGGACUUCAAUAUUUACCAGUAAUGUCAACAGAUGAAAACAGAGGAGUAUUUUAUAUUGACUUUUGCCAAUAUUUGUACACCUGAAGAUUUUUAGGUUACAAACCACAGUUUACAUUUCCUCUUUAUCUCUUAAUUCCUAUCUUGAAAUCAUUGACACUAUCCUGUUUGCAAGAUGUUUCCUCUACAAUCAUUUAAAGAGUUACGGUUUUUUGUUUUUUUUGUUUUUUUUUUUUUGGUGGCAUGAAGGAAAGGAUGAAGCAUGUCAUUGCAGGUAAUCUGAUAAAUUUCUGAAAUUAGAUAUACAAGAAAGGAAAAACAGGACUAUUGUUUACCCUAAAAAAUUGACAUGAUUUAAAGUGACUGAUUAUGAAGCUAAAAGAUUCAUCUCUACAUGUUCAUUGCUUAGUCAAGUCAUUUGCUUAAUUGCAUUUGAUUAAUCAAGCUGAAUGUGUUUUUUCCUCUGUAUAGCUUUAUUGUUGGUACUGAUUUCCAAUUAUUAAAUAACACUGUGGAUAGGAAAAUAUCUUCAUUAUUAAAAACUAGUCAAAUGGUUAUUAAUCAGAAAAAAUAACUAUAAAAAUCAUAAAUUGGAAUAUCUUAAAAUAACAGAGAGGUUGGUAAAAAGCAUGAACUCACAGUUAUAAGAUAAAUCAGGUCUGAAUAUCAAAAUGUAUGACAGGCCAAUUAUAGUUCAUAACACCUUAUUGUAUCAUUGAAAUUUGCUAAAAGAGUAGAACCUCAAUGUUUUUACCAAAAAGGGGAUGGAAUGUGUGAAGUGAUACAUGUGUUAAAUAACUUCAUAGGGGAAUCCUUUUACACAAUGUAUCCCCCACCAAAAAAAAAGAAAAAAAAAGAAAAAAAGAAAUUUCUGUUCAUCAAAAGGAAUGAUAGGAGAGUGAAGAGGAAAACUGCAAGUUGAAGAAGAUACUAGCCAGUCAUGAAUAAUUUCUACAAAUCAUUACAAAAAAAAAAAACCCACAACCUAAUAGAAGAAUGAUGAAAAGCUUGAAAAGAUAUGCAAAAACAGAAUAUCCAAAUGGUCAGCUAAUAAGUGCAAAAGUGCUCAAUCUCAUUUAUCAUUAGGGAAAUAUAAACAAAACUACUAUGAGAUAGAUGUGACUAGACAUAAACAAGAAUGACUAAAAUAAUUGAGAAGGGAAAUAGCAAAUUUUGGUGAAAGAGUAGAGUGCAGGAGUUAACAUAUCCUCUUGGUGGGAAAGUUAACCGCUGGGAAACUUGAACACAAACUACCUCACAGUCACCAGAAAUGUGUACAUAUGUUCACCAAAGACAGUACUAACUAGAGAAUAUUCCUAGAAACCCUAUUGAUAAUAGCCCCAAACUGGAAACUACCUAAAUGCCCAUUGAUACUAUGAAUAAACAAACUGGUUUAUUCGCAAAACAAAAUCUGACACAGCCCUGAGAACAAUCACACUGUAACCGUGUAUAACAAACAGUGUGGAUGACUCUCAUGAUCACGUCAAAAGAAGCUAGAGACAAAAGAGUAUAUACAAUAUUUUCCAGUUAUAUAAAGUAUAAAAAUUGUCAAUAUUACUAUAAACUGUUAGAAGUAGUUACUCUUGGGAAUGAGGCCCCAGGCACAUAAGAGGGCUGCUGAGUGCUGGUAAUAUCCUGAUAUUUUUUGUCUCGGUGCCACUUAUAAGAGGUGAUCAUUUUGUAGGAGAAACUACUGAGUCACAUACUUAUAACUAGAGCACUCUUCUGUUUUCUAGUACUCUUCAAAAUGGUAAUAAAUGACAAGCAAACUGGAUAUGACUAACUUGCAUUUUCAUGAAAACACUGUCUAUCCACAAAGAAUGCAGUACAUGUUUAUAGAUGAAGAUUGCAUUCCUGUCUUAAAUUGACCUCUGUAACCAAGGAAAUAUAUUCUUUGAAACAUUUUAUUCUACCACAAAAAGGCAACAAGUACCAAACAUGUACAAACAGUAUGCAUUUUUCUUGAAGAGAUACAGUAAUUCCUUUCACUAAGCUAAAUAAAUGAGAUACACUGAGAAGUUUUUGCACUGAUGAUGAUAAUAAUGUUUUGGUGUACCUAAUGCUUUAUGUUCAGUAAAAUACUUUCUACUUUCACACAUAGCAUCUCUCCCCCAAGCUGUGUUUGUUAAGGAAAGCCAUUAUUAUUAUUAUUUCCAUUUUAUGGAUAAAGAAAACAAAGCUCAGAGAAGCACCAUGUGUCCAAGAUCUCCCAAAAUAAAAACUUAUCACCUGGAUUCAAACUUGAUGGAGGAUUAAUGCAAUAUACUACAGCUCAGCAGGAGCUGAAACUACUCAGUGUGUUUAAAAUGGGUCCACUUCUGGUUGCUUAUCUUUGCUCCCAAGUAAUUAAAACACCACCACAAUACCUGGAUCACUUUUGCUUGGUACCUGGUGCCUCGUCUUGAAAGUCAGAGAGUGUUUUUCAGGAAGAAGACGCCCAUCUUCUCAUUGAGCAAGUGCAAAGAGUCAAACACAUCUCACUGAGCCACACUGCACCUGGAGAUGUAUCCAGGGGGAGAUAUGCAAAAAUGCACAGCAGCCCCAGGCAAGUUUCCUCCUAGCAUUUCCUGUCAGCUGUCUGGCUAUCUACCAGGGAAAAAGAAAAACCUCCUAAUACGGUUCCUGUGGGAAUUUGAAUUAAUUUAGGCUCCAACAGAACUGAGACCAUGUCUUCCAAAAACUGUGGAUGUCCAAUAAAGAUGAUUUGAAACAGCCUUGCUGGGAGGAUUAAGGUUCUCUAUGUGAUUAUCCUUACUGCAGCUUACCACUGUCUGGAUGAUGUUUAUUCCUCAUUCUAUUUCCACUUGCUUCUGUGUCCCUGUUUUCUUCCAGACUACAGACAAGGCCAGAAAUCUCCUCAGUCUACCCUUUGCUCAUAGAGGUGUCUCCUCCUUCUUCAACUUGCCUGCUAUUAAACAGAGCUUUUUAUAGUACCCAGACUAUGUCAGCCCUCUCAGAUGAAUUACUUUUUCUGAAGGAAAAAAAAAAGGGAAAAUAAAAUGAUUCAUGAUCUUGA